rnacentral:rRNA from 1 species
GAUGAACGCUGGCGGCGUGCCUAAUACAUGCAAGUCGAGCGAACAGACGAGGAGCUUGCUCCUCUGACGUUAGCGGCGGACGGGUGAGUAACACGUGGAUAACCUACCUAUAAGACUGGGAUAACUUCGGGAAACCGGAGCUAAUACCGGAUAAUAUAUUGAACCGCAUGGUUCAAUAGUGAAAGACGGUUUUGCUGUCACUUAUAGAUGGAUCCGCGCCGCAUUAGCUAGUUGGUAAGGUAACGGCUUACCAAGGCAACGAUGCGUAGCCGACCUGAGAGGGUGAUCGGCCACACUGGAACUGAGACACGGUCCAGACUCCUACGGGAGGCAGCAGUAGGGACUCUUCCGCAAUGGGCGAAAGCCUGACGGAGCAACGCCGCGUGAGUGAUGAAGGUCUUCGGAUCGUAAAACUCUGUUAUUAGGGAAGAACAAAUGUGUAAGUAACUAUGCACGUCUUGACGGUACCUAAUCAGAAAGCCACGGCUAACUACGUG